UCUGGUGGAAAAACAUCUGUAGAUUUGGUGGGGCUGUGAGUGAGACUCACAGCUAGAGCUGGUGGAGUCUCAGCUCAACACCCUCUGUCCACUGUUGGGAGGUGAAACCCAAUCCCUCACUCUA